rnacentral:tRNA from 1 species
GGAGGAGUCGGAUAAUCGGUAUUCCGCCGCACUCGAAACGCGGUGUCCACAAGGACUUGUGGGUUCGAGUCCCACCUCCUCCGCUA